CACUGGUUCUAAUGCCACACAACUGAAGCCAGAGGGUGAGGAAAGUCGCCCAGGUCAGCAGCAAGCUCAGGUCUGUCUGUACUGUCUCUUCCUGGCUCGGAUAUACUAACCCGGCAAUGAACUCCUUAUUGACUUCAAGUCAAAAUUUCUGUUUGACUUGAAGACCACUCUGAAGAGUUCUGGUUCCCUUAACCAGGUUAAGGGACAGAAAACAACUGCCACAAAUAUAAAAUUAGAUACAAUGUAGCACAAUGCACAAAAUGGCAAGAAGGCAAGCUGUAAGGCAUUGCUUGUUCUCAGCACCAGAGAGAUGCCUCCCAUCUUCCUGAAGUAGGUGGAGUAUGAAAAAUGAUCAAGCCAAAGAAAGUCUGACUACGUGCUGCGGCAAACGCUGCUUGAGGACCACACCUAAGCCUACAUUCCCUCGGCCUCAUGGCGGAAGGACUUGCACUGGAGGGCAAAGGUUGACAAGGCUCUCCUGUCUUUGGAUUGUAUACUCACAGCACUAGAAGAUUAGAGAUAUUUUCUGAUGGGUAAAUAGUUACAAAGACCAGGAAAUCCUGUAUAUGGAUCUUAUUUAUGCAAAAUGAAGCAGAGGAAGGAAGAACCAGAAGGCUCCCAGACUGACCUGCUGGGUGAAGCAGACAGGGAAAUGAUGGGGGCGGGGGGGAGAAAGAGAGAGAGAGAGAGAAGGUUUGCUGUUGUACUGCUGUCUCAUUCCCACCAGACUUCCUGGGGAACAAAUUGUGAUCUUCACUGGGAAGCUACAGAGUGCAUUUGGCAUGACUAUGAAUACAAAUAAAUGGCCAACUAUGUUUUGAAAAUAACA